UACGAAGGGGGCUAGCGUUGUUCGGAAUUACUGGGCGUAAAGGGCGCGUAGGCGGCUUCGCUAGUCGGGCGUGAAAUGCCUGGGCUCAACCCAGGAACUGCGCUCGAAACUCCGAGGCUAGAGUGUGGGAGAGGAUAGUGGAAUUCCCAGUGUAGAGGUGAAAUUCGUAGAUAUUGGGAAGAACACCGGUGGCGAAGGCGGCUAUCUGGACCACAACUGACGCUGAGGCGCGAAAGCGUGGGGAGCAAACAGG
rnacentral:rRNA from 1 species